rnacentral:rRNA from 1 species
CACGUAGGGGGCAAGCGUUGUCCGGAUUUAUUGGGCGUAAAGAGCUCGUAGGUGGUUCGGUAAGUCGGGUGUGAAACCUCCAGGCUCAACCUGGAGACGCCACCCGAUACUGCCGUGACUAGAGUCCAGUAGGGGAGCGUGGAAUUCCUGGUGUAGCGGUGAAAUGCGCAGAUAUCAGGAGGAACACCAGCGGCGAAGGCGGCGCUCUGGGCUGGCACUGACACUGAGGAGCGAAAGCGUGGGGAGCGAACAGG